rnacentral:rRNA from 1 species
GAUGAACGCUGGCGGCGUGCCUAAUACAUGCAAGUCGAGCGAACGGACGAGAAGCUUGCUUCUCUGAUGUUAGCGGCGGACGGGUGAGUAACACGUGGAUAACCUACCUAUAAGACUGGGAUAACUUCGGGAAACCGGAGCUAAUACCGGAUAAUAUUAUGAACCGCAUGGUUCAAAAGUGAAAGACGGUCUUGCUGUCACUUAUAGAUGGAUCCGCGCUGCGUUAGCUAGUUGGUAAGGUAACGGCUUACCAAGGCAACGAUGCAUAGCCGACCUGAGAGGGUGAUCGGCCACACUGGAACUGAGACACGGUCCAGACUCCUACGGGAGGCAGCAGUAGGGAAUCUUCCGCAAUGGGCGAAAGCCUGACGGAGCAACGCCGCGUGAGUGAUGAAGGUCUUCGGAUCGUAAAACUCUGUUAUUAGGGAAGAACAUAUGUGUAAGUAACUGUGCACAUCUUGACGGUACCUAAUCAGAAAGCCACGGCUAACUACGUG